AUGGAGAGACUUGUUAAUGUUCAUUACAUGGACAAGGAGGCAUUCUUGAGUAACAAUGCCGACGCGGGUGAGGAACCAUUGGUUUUUGAUACAAGCCCUAGCUAUGAGGAUGUUGCUACAAAAGUGAGACAAGUCUUGAAGUGGAUGGACACCAAUGUUGAUGUUAAGUUAACAGGAAGGUAUGAUGUUGGAGUUGGAGCCAAAUCUCGCUUGAAAAGUAUGCCUAUCACCUCGGAUUUGCAUUGGGAUGUAUACAAGGAAAAAGUAUCCCAAUCGGAAGACAAGUCACUUGAAUUGUUUGCCACCAAGGUUGAAUCUCCUCGGUUUACCUUUGAUUUGAACCGGCAUGUCUCUUCCCCAAUGGAUGACAUUGUGGUUGAGUUGUAUGCCCCCAAUGCUUCUAGCCAACCACCAACUAGCCAA
rnacentral:rRNA from 1 species